rnacentral:rRNA from 1 species
AUUGAACGCUGGCGGCACGCUUUACACAUGCAAGUCGAACGGGGUGAGGGGGCAACUCCUCAUUCAGUGGCGAACGGGUGAGUAAUGCAUCGGAACGUGCCCCGUAGUGGGGGAUAACGCCGCGAAAGCGGCGCUAAUACCGCAUAUGCUCUACGGAGGAAAGAGGGGGAUCCGCAAGGACCUCACGCUGUGGGAGCGGCCGAUGUCCGAUUAGCUUGUUGGUGGGGUAAUGGCCUACCAAGGCGACGAUCGGUAGCUGGGCUGAGAGGAUGAUCAGCCACGCUGGGACUGAGACACGGCCCAGACACCUACGGGAGGCAGCAGUGGGGAAUUUUGGACAAUGGGGGCAACCCUGAUCCAGCCAUGCCGCGUGCGGGAAGAAGGCCUUCGGGUUGUAAACCGCUUUUAGCCGGGAAGAAAAGGCACGGGCUAACACUCCGUGUUCUUGACGGUACCGGCGGAAUAAGCACCGGCUAACUACGUGCCAGCAGCCGCCGUAACAC